UGAGGAACAUGACCUUCGGCGGGGGAUAGCCGGCCCAACGGCCGGGUAAUACCGCGUACGACCACAUGGGGACAUCCCCGAGUGGUGAAAGCAGCAAUGCGCCGAUGGAGUGCCUCGCGGCCUAUCAGCUAGUUGGUGAGGUAACGGCUCACCAAGGCGACGAUGCGUAGCCGACCUGAGAGGGUNAUCGGCCACAUUGGAACUGAGACACGGUCCAGCUCCGUAGGGAG
rnacentral:rRNA from 1 species